UUCGGGAAGUGGAUUAGCGGCGGACGGGUGAGUAACACGUGGGUAACCUGCCUCAAAGUGGGGGAUAGCCUUCCGAAAGGAAGAUUAAUACCGCAUAAUAUGAGAGAAUCGCAUGAUUUUCUUAUCAAAGAUUUAUUGCUUUGAGAUGGACCCGCGGCGCAUUAGCUAGUUGGUAAGGUAACGGCUUACCAAGGCAACGAUGCGUAGCCGACCUGAGAGGGUGAUCGGCCACAUUGGAACUGAGACACGGUCCAGACUCCUACGGGAGGCAGCAGUGGGGAAUAUUGCGCAAUGGGGGAAACCCUGACGCAGCAACGCCGCGUGGGUGAUGAAGGUCUUCGGAUUGUAAAGCCCUGUUUUCUGGGACGAUAAUGACGGUACCAGAGGAGGAAGCCACGGCUAACUACGUGCCAGCAGCCGCGGUAAUACGUAGGUGGCGAGCGUUGUCCGGAUUUACUGGGCGUAAAGGGUGCGUAGGCGGAUGUUUAAGUGGGAUGUGAAAUCCCCGGGCUUAACCUGGGGGCUGCAUUCCAAACUGGAUAUCUAGAGUGCAGGAGAGGAAAGCGGAAUUCCUAGUGUAGCGGUGAAAUGCGUAGAGAUUAGGAAGAACACCAGUGGCGAAGGCGGCUUUCUGGACUGUAACUGACGCUGAGGCACGAAAGCGUGGGUAGCAAACAGGAUUAGAUACCCUGGUAGUCCACGCCGUAAACGAUGGAUACUAGGUGUAGGGGGUAUCAACUCCCCCUGUGCCGCAGUUAACACAAUAAGUAUCCCGCCUGGGGAGUACGGUCGCAAGAUUAAAACUCAAAGGAAUUGACGGGGGCCCGCACAAGCAGCGGAGCAUGUGGUUUAAUUCGAAGCACCGCGAAGAACCUUACCUGGACUUGACAUCCCUUGCAUAACCUACAGAUAGGUGAAGCCCUUCGGGGCAAGGAGACAGGUGGUGCAUGGUU
rnacentral:rRNA from 1 species